AUGCCUCCUCGUCGACUCCCUGCUUCACGCCUCAUCGCCGGAAGCUCGCGCCAAGUCCGCCUUCCGUCGACCACAGCCCAGCCACUCCCAGCCCACAUGGCCUUCCGUCCGCAUCAUCCCACGCCGGACCUCGCCGGAAGGAGCAGCAUCGCCCACAUCCAUGGCGCCCCUUGCCUCGUCUCGGUCCGGUGGAUCCGGACAACCAAGUCCUCGCUCCCCCUUCAUCCCGCUCGCCGGACCUCUGCUCCCAGCCACCAGCGCCUUGCUCUCCCAUCUGCUUCGCCCGUGCACGAGCAGGACGAACCCGCCCUACUUCGCGUCCGUCCAGGCACGAGCGUGUGCGUGCGCUGA
rnacentral:rRNA from 1 species